AACGUAGGUGGCAAGCGUUAUCCGGAAUUACUGGGCGUAAAGGGUGUGCAGGCGGGGUGGCAAGUGGUGUGUGAAAUCUCCCAGCUUAACUGGGAUAGGUUAUGCCAGACUGCUACUCUAGAGGACGAGAGAGGGGCGUGGAAUUCCGGGUGUAGUGGUGAAAUGCGUAGAGAUCCGGAGGAACACCAGUGGCGAAGGCGACUACCUGGCCUGUUCUUGACGCUGAGGCGCGAAAGCUAGGGGAGCAAACGGG
rnacentral:rRNA from 1 species